AUGCCACGCAAGUGAUUAACCGUGUUUCAAGUGUCUACAACUAAUAAUACUUGGAACAAUUGUUUUCAUGUUUAGGAGUUAUCGGACUUGGCAAGCCAACAACAAAGGAUCUCAAAAGUCUCUGAGAUGGAAAGAAAUUAUAUGUUCUCGUGAACCGGAAAUGCUUGAAUGUGGCUAUUACGUCAUGAAGUACAUGCAUCAAAUAGUUUUACUUGGAUUACAAAGUAUUAGUAAUGUGGAACAGAUAUUUUCUCCAAACCCGUACACUCAAGAGGAGAUCGAUGAUGUUCGAGAAAAAUGGAGUAGAUAUUUUAUUAGUAGUUGUUUGUAGUCAUUUUCUAGUUUUUAGAGAUAGAAAGUA